GGAUGUGAGGGCAAUCCGGCUGCGACAUCUGUCACCCCAUUGAUCUGCAGGGUUGAUUUGGCUGAUCUGGCUGGCUAGGCGGGUGUCCCCUUCCUCCCUCACCAUUCCAUGUGCGUCCCUCCCGAAGCUGCAUGCUGGGUGGAAGAGGAGGACCAUUCUUCGGUCAAGGGUAUAUAUAGGAGUAGCUGUGCUCCCCCACUAGAACCUCCAAACAAGCUUUCAAAAUUUUUAUGUAAAUUUAAGUUAACAAUUUGGAGCUCAUGAGAAGCUUUAAUCUUCUGUAGGUCCAAAUUGGUGUCAUAGCAACUCACCUCUUGCAGGCCACUUCAUAUUU
ensembl:misc_RNA 7SK 7SK RNA